ACGGAGAGGCUCCUAAUCAUACCAAACAGACACCUCUGGGCAGUCAGGUGACAGUGCGCUGUGGACGAUACCCUUCUACCCACACUGACUGGGCUGUUCAAACAUAAGCAAGGCGGGAACAGUAUUGACUGGGUUAUUCAACCACACAACAAGAUGGAGGACUGCCAGAAAAUGAGGAUUAAAAAGGGGAGCCCUUGCACCGCUCUCCACCCUUUUGAGGAUCAUGGCCUGGUGCGUGUCAACCACUGGGAACGGGAGAAAGAAGAGCGGAGCUGAGACGAGCUGUCACUGAGCUGUCACUGAGGGGAGCUGACCCGAGCAGAAAGAGCUGACCUCCCGAGCCGCAGCUUCCUGAGCUGCACCCGUUCCUGAGCCAUUCCAGCCACAGCUUCCUGAGUGGCCUUAGCUGCUGUCCUGUUCCUGAGCUGUAACACUGCUGUAACACUUCGGCUUUGCCUCUGAACCAAGGGCCCGGUGUGUGUGAACCUCUGGAUCUCCACACAUCUGGAGCUGAAGAGACAGCCUGCUACUCUGCAUGGAGCAGGUAGAGUUAGUGAGAGAGAGAAAGAGAAAGGUCUUCCUUCCGUUGGUUCACUCCCCAAAUGGCUGCUAUGGCUGGUGCUGCGCAGAUCCGAAGCCAGGAGCCAGGUGCUUCUUCUUGGUCUCCCAUGUGGGUGCAGGGCCCAAGCACCUGGGCCAUCCUCCACUGCCUUCCCGGGCCACAGCAGAGAGCUGGACUGGAAGAGUAGCAGCUGGGACUAGAACCAGCACCCAUAUCGGAUGCCAGCGCCACAGGUGGAAGAUUAACCAAGUGAGCCAGUGCCGGCCCCAAUGAUCACAAAUUGUAAGCACAUGUAGCCCAGACAAGCUUUUCUUCCUUUUCUAACUCUGAUAAUUAAUAAAUUUGUUAAUCAAGUCAUACUAUAAUUUAA